ensembl:lncRNA
GGUACUGACUUGCACAGAAGUGUGAAUUUAAAGGAUACAUUGACUGUUGGAGUUACGACUAAAGAGAUGAUAACAUAAUGCAUGUUUUCCUUCAAGAUGCGCUAUUUGACUCAAAGUCUCUAUUAAUGGCAAUCUGUACUGAAGUGUGCAUGGAGUAAUGGAGAUAUAAAUGUUAAUUAUUUUGCCUAGGGAGAAGGUUUUGAUGUUAAGAGAAGAGGUACUUGGAUAUUUGUACUGAAUCAGAGUUCUUUGUGGCUGGGCUGGGAAACCCCUUUAAUACAGCCUGAUAACGGAAACACUGAUGUGUCAUGAGUUUGGGCACUGCAAGCAGACUGCACUGGGAGGUUAUAAAAGUUGCUUCAGUACAGCAUGAGAAUGUGAUGAAGUGGUGACAUAGAAACCACAGCAACAAAGGGCUGGCAAAGAGAAUGUAACUGGUCUCCCAGCUCUGCCUGCUGGAAGCCCACCCUGUAACAAGAGAAAAAGAGAAGGGAUAGAGAAUUCGGAGGAAAGAGGUGGCAGCUUGCAAUGAUUAGGUGUCUGCAGAGUAGGAAGUAGGAAGAGGUGCUCUCUUGUCUGUGCUAAUAGGAGUGAAAAUAGAGACCCCCUACCCCCCCUCCAAAAAGAGAACCUAGAAAACCAGUAAGGAAAGCAUUAAGCAGAAAUAUCAAAGAACUUAAGAAGAAAAUAAG